UACGUAGGGGGCAAGCGUUAUCCGGAUUUACUGGGUGUAAAGGGAGCGUAGGCGGCAAGGUAAGCCAGAAGUGAAAGCCCGCGGCUCAACUGCGGGACUGCUUUUGGAACUAUCUAGCUAGAUUGCAGGAGAGGUAAGUGGAAUUCCUAGUGUAGCGGUGAAAUGCGUAGAUAUUAGGAGGAACACCAGUGGCGAAGGCGGCUUACUGGACUGUAAAUGACGCUGAGGCUCGAAAGCGUGGGGAGCAAACAGG
rnacentral:rRNA from 1 species